CAGCAGCCGCGGUAAAACGAAGGGUGCAAGCGUUAAUCGGAAUUACUGGGCGUAAAGCGUGCGUAGGCGGUGAGUUAAGUCUGCUGUGAAAUCCCCGGGCUCAACCUGGGAAUGGCAGUGGAUACUGGCUCGCUAGAGUGUGUCAGAGGAUGGUGGAAUUCCCGGUGUAGCGGUGAAAUGCGUAGAGAUCGGGAGGAACAUCAGUGGCGAAGGCGGCCAUCUGGGACAACACUGACGCUGAGGCACGAAAGCGUGGGGAGCAAACGGGAUUAGAUACCCGCGUAGUCCCUGUCUCUUAUAA
rnacentral:rRNA from 1 species